rnacentral:rRNA from 1 species
AGAGUUUGAUCCUGGCUCAGGACGAACGCUAGCGGCGUGCCUAAUGUAUGCAAGUCGAGCGGGGUAAGGAGCUUCGGCUCCUUAUCUAGCGGCAAACGGUUGAGUAACACGUAGGCAACCUGCCCCAGAGACGGGGAUAGCCCGCCGAAAGGCGGAUUAAUACCGGAUGUGGCCGGAGGAGACCUCUCCUCUGUGCUAAAGGGAGCAAUCCGCUCUGGGAGGGGCCUGCGGCCUAUCAGCUUGUUGGUGGGGUAACGGCCUACCAAGGCGACGACGGGUAGCUGGUCUGAGAGGAUGGUCAGCCAGACAGGGACUGCGACACGGCCCUGACUCCUUUGGGGGGCAGCAAUGAGGGAUAUUGCACAAUGGGGGAAACCCUGAUGCAGCGACGCCGCGUGGGUGACGAAGUCUUUCGGGAUGUAAAGCCCUUUUCUCGGGGAAGAGAAUGGACGGUACCCGAGGAAUAAGCCCCGGCUAACUACGUGCCAGCAGCCGCGGUAAUACGUAGGGGGCGAGCGUUGUCCGGAAUUACUGGGCGUAAAGCGCCUGUAGGCGGGAAGUUACGUCGGACGUGAAAGGCGGGGGCUCAACCCCCCGAGCGGCGUUCGAAACGGACUUUCUUGAGGGUCGAAGAGGAGCGUGGAAUUCCCGGUGUAGCGGUGAAAUGCGUAGAGAUCGGGAGGAACACCUGUGGCGAAAGCGGCGCACUGGACCACUACUGACGCUGAGGCGCGAAAGCUAGGGGAGCAAACAGGAUUAGAUACCCCAGUAGUCC